rnacentral:piRNA from 1 species
UAAAUACUUGGAAUUCUUACAGA